rnacentral:sRNA from 1 species
AUGAUUCAUUCUGAUCGAAUUAUUCAAGGUCGUCGCCAUUACACUCAAGCAGAGGUUGAUGGUCAAAUUCUUUAUAAUCUUUAUGAUGAUGCUCAUGUUAAGGUAAGUUUUACUUUGAGGUGCUAUGCUACUUAUUGUAUAUUUUAUUUUGAUAGUCUAAUUUGUGUUUUUGUUUGUUUGUUUAUUAUUUUUAGGUUGCUAAGGAAAGUCUAGUUAUUUGUAAGAUUGUGUAGAUAUUUGAGGUUGAGGAUGGAAGUUCUUAUUUUACAGCUUAAUGGUAUUAUAAAGCCAAGGAUACGGUUAUCAUCUUAACAGCAUCCCUUAAUUGAUUUUGGUACUCAAUAUUUAGCUUGCUAAUGCCUAGUUCUAAUUAUUAAAAAAAAAAAAAUCCAUAAGUCAUACAGAAAUGUCAUAAUCUUAUUAAGAGCAAGCACGUGUUUUAUUUAGAAAUCCCGGAUGAUAACCCAUUGGAUUGUUUGGUUGAAAAAUUAACAAUUGUUAGGAUUCUUUUGAAUGUAUGAUUUCAAGUUCUUAUAUACAUUCUCUGAUUUUUAUAUAAUGUGAUAGUAAUUAAAGUUUGUUUUUCAGGUUGGUCUAGCAAAAGAAAGCCAAUUCCCAAUUUUGAUUAUUAAUAUGACAUGCUCUAUUUAUUGUCAUAUUCUACAUUUGUUAAGUAAUCAGCUGUAGACACCUCAUUUUGUAUAGCUUACAACUCGAGGCCCCAUUCCCAAAUGACAACAUUACUCUAAGGCCCAAGGUUGAUUUGGGGCCCAGUCUCAUAAAACCUUGACUCGAGGAAUUAUUUAUAGAAAAAAAUAACUUAUUUUGGAAGAAUAAACCUAUUUUUUGGGGAAAAAAAAAGGCUGCAGAAAACUCUAAGUGUGUGUAUGCAUACACGCAUAUGUGCACACACACUCAAACCAUGCAUAUGCAUACUUAAGGUAUGCACACACAUACCCCGAGUAAGUGCACGCAUCUAGAGUUCCAGAAACUAUGAAAGCAAAGUUUUUUGCACAUAAAGUCAUAUGGAAUGAAUCCUACAUCGUCUGGAAGCAACCCCACACUCCUAUUUUACUACUAUAUAAAGCCAUAAAAUGCACUUUUUGAGAGGGGUGAAACAUACAAAAGAUUCACUAGAAAAUAGUGAAUCAAAGAAGGAGUUUUUUCACAAAACAUCCUCAAGUCAAGUUUUAAUCAAUUGUGACUUAUUUUGGUCUUGGCCUUUGAGUUCUAAAACUUACUAACCUGCUAGUUUUGUUCUUGAAUAGCUUGACUAAAGGUAAUGAUCAAAUAAAGCUCUAGAGAGUUCUUGUGUUGAGGUAAAGGUUUUAACUUUGGCUCUUCACUCUUCUUUUUUUUGUUAUUUGAAUAAGCAUGAUAGGUUGUUAGUUUCUUGUUUUCCUUGGUUUCCGUUAUGUGCUAUUGGGUUUAGGGUUCUGGGCGUGUAUGUGUGCUUAUGUUUCAUGCAUGAAUACGCAUACUUGAAGUGUGUGUACGCAUACAAUUAGGAUGUGUAUGCAUACCCUAUGUAUGCGCACACACACUCAUGCCCAAGAACUCAGAUUUGGUUUUUCUCUAUUUUUCUCUUGUUUCUUUUGCAUGUUUGGUCUUGUUUCCCAUGUUUUGAGAUUCUGUUUUAGAGUUUAACUUGUUCUUGUUUUGUUUUCUUGCUUAGAUAUUGAUUAGGGUUUAUGUCCUUGUUGAAUAUCAUGAACAAGCAUAUGGGUAUGAACAUGCAUUGAUUCAUAGGUGCUGUGUUACAGUAAAGUAAGCGAGGUAAGUCAUGCAUAGACCCCUGUGGACAUGCAUUUGAAUGUUUGAGCUUUGAGUUGCUUAAGAUGCUUGGUUGAGUGCUCUGAGUUUUGAUGUGAUGCUUAAAUGUUUAGAUGUGCUUAUUGGAAUCUGCCUUGGGAUGUAGCUGCCCUUUUGUCUUUUUGUUUGUUUCUAUGAUAGAUGAAUGCUAGGCUUUGGGACGAUAUGCCAUGUUAGUUGCUUUAGAUGCAUGAUAGAGUGUGCAUGUGUCUAGAAUAACAUGCUAAAAGACUUUUUAAUGAGAUUAAGACUUGGAACAUAAUGAGUGAAAGCUGACCCAUUGGUCGGGUGGGAUUAGGUACCUAAUAACUUCCCAUCCCUAUACCUAAACUCUGGACAUGUGCUUUGGUGAAGAUCAAUCCUUCAACAAGAGCGCUAUAUAUAUGGUUCCUAGACCUAAUCUACGUGGCAACUCCAUUUGCACCUUCUGUCAUGGUCCACCCUAGGCCAAGGCAUACUCCCAGGAGGAGAACCAAAAACUUUUGUCACGGGCACUUGCGCCCAAACCAUCAUAUUAGAAUUUUGUGUUAUUUGCAUCAUAUUGUAUUUGUGUUUUUAAAUUUGAAUGAUUUUAUUUUCAUUUCUCCUUUUUUUCCUCCUUAUAAACUUGCAGAAGAGAGGCAUAGUAGCUACGAGGCAUCAUCGAUAAUUUCUUGUGAGUAUGAUAUGAAUGGGCUUGAACUUGAAGAAGUUUCUCAAGUUCAAGAUCACCUUAAGCCAGAGGUGACAUUGCUAGACCUUUACUCUAGUUGUGGUGCUAUGUCAAUUGGGUUAUGUCUUGGAGAUGAUUUGUUCGAUUUACAUCUUGUUACAAGUAAGUUUUAUUCUUUAUGCCACAAAAUAUACUAACCUGAAUUAGAUGUCAACUUAUCAUCAUCAUUAUGUCUUGGAACUAAUUUAUUUCUUUGUAGAGAUAGCAGUUGACUUGAAUCAAUAUGUUUGUGAAAGUCUCAAGUUAAACCAUCCAGAGACAAAGGUAAAUUGUUUGAGUUUAUUUUCUUCUAUUGAUUUAUAGGCAUUUCAUGCUUAAGUGCAAAGCUCUAAUAUUAGGUUAUCAUUGGCAAAUCAGGUUAGAAAUGAAUAUGCGGAGGAUUUUUUUGUUGUUGCUAAAGGAGUGGGAAAAAUUAUGUUGUUAUUUUUCCCUAAUUAAAAGUAAUGAUCUUCCACAAAAAUAUGCAAAUCUGUUUGGAACAGAAAAUGUUGUUGAUUAUGGUAGUGGUGAUGAUAAUGAUAGUGAUGAGGCUAAUGGGGAAGAUGAGGAGGUGUUUGAAGUUGAGAAGAUAUUAGGAAUAUGUUAUAGUAACUCCAAAGAGAUUAAAAGAAAACACUUGAAUUAUAUUUUAAGGCGUUUGAAUUUCAAACCAAAUUAAAAGCUAUUUGUGGAAAAUAUUUGUUAAGCAUGCUAUUUAGAACACGUGUAUCAGUCUCUUCUUUUAAAACUCAUGUGAACUCUGCAUUUGAUUGAACGUUGGGAACACAAGUAUGUCAUUGUGCACCUAUGUUGACAAAGCUGCACUUCAUUACUAAAUAGUUAUUUACUCAAUAAUGUGCUUGCAGUCAUUUGAUAUUUUUAUUUUAUUUUUAACAAUAAUAAAUUAGAUUUGAAAACUGUAAAGAUACUAAGGUCAAGGUUAGAGCAGCAGUAAGGCAAGAAUCAAGAGCUGAACCAGUGGAAUAAAGUGGCUGUGGUGUAAAGUGCUUAUAGAGUAAAACAGAGUGGCAAUGUUAUGCACAAAAACGACACAAGAACUUAUGCUACUUGUAGUUUUAUUUUUUGUAUUAGUUAUGUUCACACGUGAGAGUCACAUGUGUUAUGAUUGUAACUGUCUAAUGUAAGUGCUUAGCGCAUAAUUAGGCAAAUUAGUUUCUUCAGUUAGCUUCCAGGUAGUAUAUAAGAAGGAUCAGUGUACAGUAACAAUUUAAUUAAUUCAUUUUCUCUCUCGAUUAUAAUAGAAAGCAUUUUCCAGAAGCUCUCUCUCUUCUCUCUCUUUCUGAGUUUUGUGUAGCUCUCUGUUCAGCUUUCUAUUACUCCUUGAUUUUCAUCUCUUAUAUGGUAUCAGAGCCAGAAUCAUUUUCAAUGGCGUCCAAUUCUCAACAAGCUUCAUCUUCAACCUCACAGCAUGAGCUUUCACCAAUGGAGGAUCCUCGUAGUCCAUUCUUCUGCACCAUGGUGAAUCACCUGGUGCGAUCUUGGUUUCACAACCAUUAACAGAGGAUAAUUAUCCUACCUGGUCUCGUGCGAUGAAGAUGGCUUUGGAUGCCAAAAGCAAAUUAGGUUUUGUUGAUGGUUCAAUCACUGCUUCAAUGGCAGUUACUCCUCUGGAGAAGAAGGCAUGGUCUCUUCUUGGAUUCUAAAUUGCGUUUUGCCUCACAUCACUGCUAGUGUGAUCUAUCGAAACACUGCUCUUGAAGUUUGGAAUGUGCUCAAGAAUCGCUUCUCUCAGGCAAAUGGACCACGAAUUUCACAGCUACAAAAGCAAAUUUCUACUGUGAUGCAAGGAGAUUCAACAGUCACCUCCUACUUCACAGGGCUUCAAGCUUCGUGGGACCAAUUGCUAAAUUUCAGACCUUUGCCUUGCUAUUCCUGUGGCAAAUGCACCUGUGGUGUAAAUGAUAAGAUCAAUUCUUUCCAGCAUUAAGAUUCAUUGAUGCAAUUCCUCAAUGGAUUGAAUGAUGCUUAUUCCCAAGUGUGAACCCAGAUUCUCAUGAUGGAACCUACUCCUUCUAUAGACAAGGCAUUUUCUUUGGUGAUUCAAGAAGAAAGGCAAAGAUCUUCAGGCUUCAAUCUGGGUCCAUCAGUUGAAACAAUUGCCCUUGCUGUUAAAAAUCAAAGCUUUAAUCAUAGCUAUGGUUUUACAAGCAAUUCUAGCAAGAAUUUCAAAGGCAAUACUGGAAAAGGAAGGCCUAUAUGCAGUUAUUGUGGCAAGCUUGGACACAUCAAGGAGAAGUGUUACAAAUUGGUGGGUUUUCCACCAGGUUAUAAGCAGAAGGGAAAGGCUCCAAUGGCAAAUCAAAUCAGUUUUAAGGGUGAUCAAUCUCAGACUGGAGAGACACAGCUAGGCAAUGGGAAUUUUCCAUUUACUGCUGAUCAAUGUCAACAAUUGAUUUCUCUACUCAACACUCAUGCCUUCUCAUCUGAUUCCUGUGAAGGUGUCCAUUCAGCCAAUUCUGCAAUUGCUUCCACUACUGCCUCAGGUAAUACUUGUCAUAUAUUUCAAGAUUGUAUGACUUUAAGCAUGCAACAUUCUGUAUUUGUUGUUAAUCCUGUACAUAAAAAUGCUUUCAAUAGUGAGACUUGGGUUCUUAAUACUGGUGCUACAGAUCACAUAAUUUAUUCUGUCACCUUAUUCACCAAAAUCACUAGUUCUAUAUCCACUUUUAUUCAAUUGCCUAAUGGUGAGAAAGUUACUGUCACUCACAUAGGCACUAUUCAAAUCACGUCCACCUUAAUCCUUGAGAAUGUUCUUUGUGUUCCCUCUUUUUCAUUCAAUCUAAUCUCAGUUAGCAAAUUAACAAAAUGCCUAUCUUGUUGUCUUGUUUUCCUUCCAAAAUUUUGUUUCAUACAGGACCUGUCAUGUUGGAAAACGAUUGGAGUGGGUAAAUUGCACAACAAUCUUUACUUGCUGCAAGUUUCCCCAGAUUGCACAUCCAUAUCAGGAGUCUCUUCCAUUUUGAAAUUUGUUUUUGAUUCCCUUGUAAAUUCUGUUUCCAAUGUUCCUGUUGUUUCUAAGCCAUUUCUUUGGCAUCUUAGACUUGGGCAUGUUUCUGAUAAUAAGCUCAAUACUUUGCACAGUCAUCUUCCUGAUGAAAUCCAAUUUCAAAGUAAUAAAGAUUGUGUUCUUUGUCCUAUUGCUAAACAGAAAAAGUUACCUUUUCCAUCUUUUAAUCACAUUUCCUCUAAUGCUUUUGAUAUUGUCCAUUGUGAUGUUUGGGGUCCUUUUACCAAACCUACUCAAGAAGGUUUCAAAUAUUUUCUCACUCUUGUUGAUGAUACUACUAGAUCCACUUGGGUUUAUCUAAUGAAAUAUAAAUCAGAUACUAGGCCACUGCUUGUUUCAUUUUACAACAUGAUAUGUACACAAUUUCACACCAAAAUAAAAGUGUUUAGAACUGAUAAUGCUCCUGAGUUUUUCUUGAAAGAUUUUUUUUUUCUGCAAAUGGUAUUAUACAUCAACAUUCUUGUGUAGCCACUCCACAACAAAAUUCAGUUGUGAAGAGGAAACACCAACAUAUCUUGAGCAUGGCUAGGGCCUUGAGAUUUCAGUCUAAUAUCCCUCUUUAUCUUUGGGGUGAGUGUGUCUUGACUGACGUACAUAUCAUUAACAGGCUGCCUUCCCCCAUUUUAAACAAUAAAUCUCCUUUUGAAAAGCUAUAUGGCAAAAUCCCUUCUUAUGAGCAUCUUAAGGUUUUUGGUUGUCUUUGUUUUGCUUCAACUUUAAUUCACCAUAGAACCAAAUUUGAUCCUAGGUCUGUACCUUGUGUUUUUCUUGGAUACCCCUUUGGUGUUAAGGGUUACAAACUUCUUAAUUUGUUUACUAAGAGAAUUAUCAUUUCAAGGGAUGUGAUUUUUCAUGAAACCAUUUUUCCUUUUGUGUCUGAUCCUUAUUCAUCUUCUUCUCAUUCCAACAUUCCUUUACCUCAUCUGUUUCCUUCAGUAGCUUCACCUCAUGAUCCUUUGCUUCCUUUUCAAAAUUCUGACCUUGUCACAGAUGCUAUUUCUGCACCAAAUCAGGUCAUUCCAUCUAUCUCUGAAUCCAUUUCUCCUGCAUCAAUUCCUGAUCCUACCCCUUCCCUUUCAUCCAAUCUUCCUGUCAUAAAUUAG